UACAGAGGGUGCGAGCGUUAAUCGGAAUUACUGGGCGUAAAGCGUGCGUAGACGGUUAUUUAAGUCGGGUGUGAAAGCCCCGGGCUCAACCUGGGAAUUGCAUUCGAGACUGAAUAGCUAGGGUACGGUAGAGGGAAGUGGAAUUUCCGGUGUAGCGGUGAAAUGCGUAGAUAUCGGAAGGAACAUCAGUGGCGAAAGCGACUUCCUGGACCAGUACCGACGUUCAGGCACGAAAACGUGGGGAGCAAACAGG
rnacentral:rRNA from 1 species